rnacentral:rRNA from 1 species
GACGAACGCUGGCGGCGUGCUUAACACAUGCAAGUCGAACGAAGUGGCGAACGGGUGAGUAACGCGUAAUCAACCUGCCCUUCAGAGGGGGACAACAGUUGGAAACGACUGCUAAUACCGCAUCCGGAAGGAGGGGAUGGCGUCGGAUUAGCUAGUUGGAGGGGUAACGGCCCACCAAGGCGAUGAUCAGGAGCCGGGCUGAGAGGAUGAACGGCCACAUUGGGACUGAGACACGGCCCAGACUCCUACUGGAGGCAGCAGUGGGGAAUCUUCCGCAAUGGACGAAAGUCUGACGAAGCAACGCCGCGUGAGUGAUUACGGCCUUCGGGUUGUAAAGCUCUGUUAAUCGGGACGCGGUACCGGAAUAGAAAGCCACGGCUAACUACGUGCCAGCAGCCGCGGUAAUAC